UUAUUUCUAAAUCCUUUUUUUUUGUUAUAGUCAACUUUUAAGUAUUGAUUUGCUUCUAAAUUCGAUGUGAUUUUCAUUUGCCUCUAUUUCCAUAGUUUCGUCUUUCUUUUUUUCCUUUUUUUUUGGACAAGUUUCGUCUUUCUAUAUUUUAUUUUGAAACUAUUUUUUCUAUUUAGAUUUCUAAUCAACUCUUAUCCAAAACUAACUUUCCAUGUAUUUGAUCUAACCCAUAUUUCAUCUCACCCCGUGAUGUGAACGAUAAAGAAAAAAAAAAGAAGAUAAGCAGAAAACUAACUUUCCAGGGAUCAUGGUCCAUUCAUUCUUGAUAAACUUAAUAUGUAUAUUUGGUAGUUUUAAAACUUAUCCUAAAUGAUAUUUUUAGCCUGCAACUCUGCAUACUAUUUUACAUUAAUUUUCUUUUUCUAGUUUAGAGUCAAUAUUUUUUCAUUGCCUAAACUAACAUCUCGACCCCAAAAAAAAAAAA
rnacentral:lncRNA from 1 species